rnacentral:rRNA from 1 species
AGUGAACGCUGGCGGUAGGCCUAACACAUGCAAGUCGAACGGCAGCACAGUAAGAGCUUGCUCUUACGGGUGGCGAGUGGCGGACGGGUGAGGAAUACAUCGGAAUCUACUUUUUCGUGGGGGAUAACGUAGGGAAACUUACGCUAAUACCGCAUACGACCUACGGGUGAAAGCAGGGGAUCUUCGGACCUUUCGCGAUUGAAUGAGCCGAUGUCGGAUUAGCUAGUUGGCGGGGUAAAGGCCCACCAAGGCGACGAUCCGUAGCUGGUCUGAGAGGAUGAUCAGCCACACUGGAACUGCGACACGGUCCAGACUCCUACGGGAGGCAGCAGUGGGGAAUAUUGGACAAUGGGCGCAAGCCUGAUCCAGCCAUACCGCGUGGGUGAAGAAGGCCUUCGGGUUGUAAAGCCCUUUUGUUGGGAAAGAAAAGCAGCAGGUUAAUACCCCGCUGUUCUGACGGUACCCAAAGAAUAAGCACCGGCUAACUUCGUG